GAGAGGGUGGGGAGGGAUAUUACUCAGAAGGGUGGUGGGAAUGGGUGAUUGGCUGAUAGGUGUGGUAAACCUGUUGAUGACUGUUGACGCCUGCAAAAGGUCUUACAGGAGAAAGCAAGGGGUGAGAUGGUUGAAAAUAGCUUUAUAAUGAGAUAAGAAUCCAAUGUCUCUAUUCAGACCAGGUCUCCAUGGUUUUUCAGCCAAUCACCCAUUCCCACCACCCUUCUGAGUAAUACCCCUCCCCACCCUCU